GUAUUUGUUUUUAGGGUUUGGGGCCCAUGACUGUAAUGGAAGGUGUGUUGCGAGGGGGAGUUAUUGACAGGAGCGAGGGGGAGUUAUUGACAGGAGCGAGGGGUGGAGGAGGUGCUAGGUUUGGAGGCAACGGUAGAUCACAAGGAUUUGCACUUUCGAAAAACCUGCUAAACAUGAAUUUCCGAUUCUUAGGGCGCCGAUGGAUAGCUAUAGACCGAGUUGGAGAGAUAGGCCUGUUGAUAUUGCCCGGAAGCUUGUUGUUGUUCCGAAUUAUAGAAAGUGGUUAGCAAUGGAUGACCGCGUGGGCGUGGUUGUGGAUUAGGAAUGCACAAACUGCUCUGGUGGUAAGGUUUCGACAAAUGGCGCAUGUGCUGGCAGGAAACCGAACUAAUUUGUCACCGUAGAGUCGCCAGUUGCCACCAGGUGAUUGCAGGUUUAAGGUGCUGACUGAGGAAGACUCUGCAGAGGAAUUUUCAGCGAGCAGUUACCAAUUAGUUCGGUUUGUUGGCAUAACGGCAUCAAUGCAUCACGACAGAGAAUAUACACACGCGCACACACACACGUGUAUAUAUAUAUAUAUAUAUAUAUAUAUAUGUGUGUGUGGAUUAAUUUUUGGGUGUAAAUCACUGGAUGGUUAUAGGUUUUGAAGGAGGUUUAGGGUUUGGGCGUUGCUUACUGUGGCAGUUGAUUUCCUCGCAAGAGCUUAGCAACUAUGAUUGCUUCCCCUCAUGUCGAUGGAUUACUGUAGGAUGCAAUCGGCUCAGCACCAGUCAUCAUCUUCGAACUGCUCUUUGUUACCGCUGCAGAAGGAUGAGUUGAGCCACUACUAUUCUGCGUUGGCAAUUUGAAAAAGCCAAAUUGCUGAAGAAGAGAGUAGAGAUGUGGACAUCUACGUUUUCUGAAACCUUACAUUACUGAGUAAAUUGAUGCAGUUCGUCGCGAAAUAUUGCUGCAAACGGAUCCAGCAUGGUGCUUCAUUAUCCUCUCGUCACCAAGGAUCGAUACAUACUGCUCCGAAGAUAACAGGCAUUUGUUAUGUCGAGGAUUUUGACAUAACAAAUGCCUGUUGGACUGCAAGUUGGGGGGGGGAUUGCUUUCAGGCGAAUCAUGUGGGGGACGUGAUACGCUGAACUGUCCAUCGAGCUUUCAGCCAUGCAUUCAUGUAAAGCAGCUCAUAUCUCUCAUUGCCCAGGUGGUUUAUUACUCCUUCAAAUCUUGCAUGAGAGUGGAAUAUGCCAGGCAGAGGAUUUUGAAUGAUGUUGCCUUCUUGUGGCAUAGUUCUUGUAAGAAAUAUUUCGCAAUAUCCAAAAGAUCAUGGGCACCAAAUUUUUCAAUAACUAUGCGGGACAGAAACGACACCCCGAUAUGAGUUUGUCUUCGUUAUCUGCUUGAUAGAUUCGUUUCAAGACUACUGUAGACGUGUGAGAGGUAGUUUUACUUCC
rnacentral:lncRNA from 1 species